rnacentral:lncRNA from 1 species
GCAACUUAUUUAAAGGCACAUAGGAAAAAAAAAAUAGAAUUAGAGCCCACGGCAGAAACUGAAAUUUACCCUUUUCUCUUCUCUUCUCCAAAAUCAAAUUCUCCGGCGGACCAGAGAGAAACUUCGAGAAGAGGAACGGCGGGAAUGGCUUCAUCGUCGAGCAGCGGCUUGACAUUUAAGCUCCAUCCGUUAGUGAUGCUCAACAUAUCGGAUCACUACACACGUGUCAAGUCACAGUCCCAACCUCCCCCUUCUUCGCACUCCUGCUCCAACGGUUCCGGUUCUGGUGCCGAUUCCCCUUCCGCUUCCGCGCCGCCUAGGGUUUUUGGUUGCGUCAUCGGCGUACAGAGUGGCCGUACUGUCGAGAUCUUCAACAGCUUCCAACUUCUUUAUGAUUCCCUCUACUGGUUCCGGUUCUGGUGCCGAUUCCCCUUCAGCUUCCGCGCCGCCUAGGGUUUUUGGUUGCGUCAUCGGCGUACAGAGUGGCCGUACUGUCGAGAUCUUCAACAGCUUCGAACUUCUUUAUGAUCCCUCUACUCACUCCCUCGACCGCGCUUUCCUCGAAAAGAAGCAAGAGCUC